UAUCACGGAAAGUUUCCGCAAACCCGUCAACAGCCAGAAGUUUUUACAUUUCAACAACAAUCGCAACAAAUGGAAAAUCAGGAAAAUGAGAGUUCAUUGUCGAAAUACUCACCAUACUUAUAUUUAGCUUUAAAUGCUUCUGAUGACGCCGUGGUGUCGACACCACAGCCGUCAAAAUCGCCGGAAGUACAUGUAGGUACGCAAGCCAAUCAUCAAAAUAUAAAUUUACACACACACGUUUUCAGUCAUAAUGUGAAUAUGCAUGCACCCCCUUUGACAUUUAAAAAGGAAACAGACUAUCCAAAGUAUGCGACCGCUAUACAUGGUCAGAUACCGAAAGUUGCUGAAGGUGCGGUCAGGUACACAAUGCCACUUAUAAAAAUUCCACACAACGAAAAACAAGUGCAAGUUAAUUUAACACCUCAAAAUAUUAUCGAACAAAUCGGUAACCCCGGUGUUAUUGCAUAUGCAAAGAACAUUACUAAUACAAAAACUAUUUAUGUGGAAAAUAACGCCGACAGCUCAGUUAUUGAUUCAUUUUCUCUUUACAACAGCUUACCCAGUGAUUUGACGAACUUACAGCAGCAGGAAACUAAAGCUCAAAAGCCGCUACAAACACAAUUUAACCAUAACUAUACACAUCUUUAUAUAAUGGCAAAUAAUAAUAAUAUAGAUAUCCACAAUCAAAGCUCCGGCAAUAGAGAUGAUGUCAAAAAUGAAUACCAAGCUAUAUUUUCACCCGCAGCAGCCGGUGUAACGACAUCAGAUACGCUGACUCAGCAGAGGUAUCCACAGCAUGCUGGUUAUAACGUUAAUAUGUACAGCCCAAAUGCAAAUGCAAAUGAGAAAUUAACAGACGUUAUAAAAAAUGUGACAAGUGUAAAUCAUGCAAUUGCUGGUUCUCUAAACACAGCAAAUUUAUAUUACCAAUCAAAUAACACGAUUGACGAAAUAAGUUUUUUAAAAAGUGGCAAUACUUAUGAUACAGCUGAUGAUGGGCUUCUUGACAAGAAUAGUAAAACCAGUGCUUUCAUAUCUCACAAAAAUCUAGAUAACAGCAAAUCUAAGCCCAAAAAUAGUCACUAUUGCAUUGUGGACGAGGAAAAUAUUGAAUUAAACGUGGAUCAACACACGGCAUCAACAAAUAGUUUAUAUCAAAAAAUGCGCACCGAGCAACAGAAAGUAUUACAACCAUUUUUUUCACCCGUUGCUGCAAUGAAAGUCAGUAAUACACACACAACAAAUAUGGAUCAGUUAAAUGGUGAUGUCACCAGAAAUUCUGAACGAAACUCUACUGUUCCUUCAAGUCGAAAAAAUACGCAUCCGAUAAGCUACUAUGCAACUAAAGUUACGCAAGAGCACGUAGAAAUAUCAAAAAAGUCGCCGAUAACUUCCCAAAUGAGUCUUAAUGAAAAUAAAUGCGCACAUAAUACACAGUUAUUGUCGUGUGGUACCCAUUUCGCUGUUGAAAGAUCGCAAAUUUUACAAAAUGCGACACAAAAACAGCAAAAAAAAAAGAUUUAUUUUGCUAAAGGCGAUGUUUUUAAGACGAAUCUUGAAACCGACGCCUUAAGUGUACAUACAGAUGACUUAGUAAGCACAAUGUCAAAAAGUAAACAAGAAUAUAAACAAACGUCAAAAACAGGGGCAAGUAACAAAAAUAAAAUAUUAGCAGCAAAAGAAGAGAUUUUAUAUGCAACAAGCACAAUGCAUUAUCCAACCAUCAACAAGAUUGAUGAACCACAAGUCACGAUCAGGAAUAAACAACCAACCCACAACGAAACGCUCACAAUUAAUCAGCCUCAAAAAAAAAUAUGCGAUUUACUUUCGCCUUUUACAACAUCAUCAACAUUAUCACCACCUCCAAAACAACAACACCUUGAACCUUUACCAAAUGUUAAGCUACAGACAGCGGUUGAACAUACAAGUAACACCCAGGAUUACAAGACCAUCAGCUUAAAGGCAAUAAUGCAAACACUAUUACAAUCGGCACCACUACAAGCAACCCAAAUACCAUUACCAUCGUACACAAAAAAUAGAUACAUAUGGCGUACAACGGCGCUCACACCAAACCGGAACAUACCGAAAGAAAUACCCAUAUCGAAACUCAAUGACACAUUGACGCACAGCGUCGUAAAAGGAGACAUAAAUUUAAUCUCGAGUACAAAAGCGAUUCUAGGUAUAUCAACAAAUGCACUUUCAGCAAUAAAUUAUAAUGCUAAUAAAUAUGUUAAUCCAACAGCAACAGUGAGAGAUACAAGCAGUAUAUCAUUAGUAUGGAAUUCAUCGACUGUAUACACAGCUUUUCAAAUUCCAGGAAAGCAUGGUAAUAAUUUCACUGCAGAUUCAAAAUACACCACAGAGCUGUAUACAAAUAACAAAACAAAGAAUACAAUGUCUGUGCUACAAGCAAGCGAGUAUGAAUUUCAACCAAAGACAGAUGUGAACAUUAAAAGCAAUCAUUAUGUAUUGGUUACUAACAAACCUUUUCUCGAAUCUUCAGAAGCGGCAACGAUAUCCCCAAGUAGUAGAGCGUCGCUAACAGACGCCUUCACGCAUUUAAAGGAUUUACCAAAUGGAUUUCUUGGCGCGAACGUAGAGAAAUCAAAUCUUACAAAUGACGAAACAAAAAGUCAAUGGCGCCUGAAGUACAAUAGUCAAACAAACAUUUCUUCAGAUACCAUAUUUUACAAGAAUAUUGAGUUAUUACCAACAAAGUAUAUAACAAGAGCACAACUGAUUACUUCUUCCAGCACAGAUAGUAGGAUACUUAAAACAACUGCGUAUGAACAGUCACAAAAUGUUUCUUUCUUUGAAACCAAACUUCAAACGACCGAUAAAACAAUAACGCUAUCCGAAUUUGCAUUUGAAACCGCAACAGUAACAGAGUCAGAAUCUUCAACCGAGAAAGCGAAUGAGACAACAGUGAAAAUACUAGAAACAUAUACAAACAUUUUCGCGGAGGCCACAAGGGUAACCGUUGGUAACGAAUUACCAAUUACAGAGACUGUUUUAGAUAAGAGAGAGAAGCCGGACAAUAGUUUUAACCAUGCCAAUGAUAUUACAACAAUGGUAACCGCAGAAGUUUUAGAAAAUGAUAACAAAAACACAUAUUUUAAUGUAGGCAAUUAUAUCUUACCACAAUAUGAGCAGGAUCCUUUCACGCACGCCAUUCUAAGCCAUAAACCCCAAAACAAUAAUAUAAAGCAUAAUAAUAGUUUUGUAAUAUAUGAAAACAAUUUAAAUAAAAUCAAUAUGGGUACAAAAAAUGUAGUGCCACUUCUUAACAUUUCAAAUAUAACUGCAGAAAGUGUCUACGAGCCAAAAAACAGCAUUUUUAUUGUGAUGACAAACUCACAAAGUAAUAUUAAAGCCAAACAACCACAUGACCUGUCAAACGUUAUUAAACUUGAUAGUGCAGAUGCCUCGUCUACUGUUUCUGGCGCCGCUAGUGAUUUUGGCAAUAUUGGCACAAAUACAGGGACUAUACAAUUAGAUUAUGAUGACAGCGUAUCGGUGUUUAAUUUACCUGAACGAAAUGAAGAGUAUAUUACCGAGCCGCAUGAAUUUCGUACAAAGAUAAAUCAAGUACUGCUGGGGGGUGUACUUAUAGCAACGCCACCGAAGAUGACCGAUUAUACCGGUAUCAAUCCAAUGGAAAAUUCAACAUGCCUACCUCCAUGCAAAAUGACACGUAAUGAGGUGUGCACUAUGGCAGAGUUACGCUGGCUUUGUGUUUGUCGCCCUGGCUUUGCACGCAUGUUUCCCGAUCGCCCAUGUAAACCAACUUACACAUACCAACUGAGCCUACGUAUUGACCAUUUUGGGGAUUUUAAAUUGGUUUACGAUCACGUUUUGGACGAUAAUUCCACUAAUGAGUAUAAGCAUCUCGCAACGAUUACGAAGGAAGCAAUAAAUCGUAUGGUAAUGCAAUCCGAUUUACGGGAUAUUUAUCAUGGUGUACAGUUGUCAACAUUCACUCCAAUAUACGACGGAAAUAUGGGCACUGGUGGCAAGUCAGCCAACACAGAAUCAUCUGAUUUAUCAGCAAAUUUACUCUUACAGCUUUCAGAAAAUAGCAACGAAGUACGUCUUAUGGCUGUAUUCAAAAAGUAUUUACGCUUAACUAACUAUAGCAUCGGUGGCACAAAACUCUUCACGGAUCGUAAUGGUGUAGAAUCUUUGGCGAUAACGGAUUUCAACGAGUGUGCGCAUGGAAAGUUUCACGAUUGUUCUUCACACGCUCUUUGCUUUAAUCUUCAAGGCACAUAUACAUGUAGUUGCAAGGAGAAUUUCGCAGACUUAUCAGGCAACAGAAUUUAUCCGGGUCGUAUAUGUUCAGCCGAACUUGUUGGAUGCGAACGAUGCCAAUAUCAUGGCAAAUGUGCCAUCAAGAAAUUCAAUCACCCAUACACUUCGGAGCAUGUAGUGUGCGAAUGCUUUGCCUGGUAUACCGGUUCAACAUGCCAACUGAAUUUAAAAAUAGUUCUUAUAGUUUUAAUAGCCGUCGGUACGCUUCUCUUUACACUCUUGAUUUUUUGCAUUCUUCUUAUGUGUACCAAACGGCAUACAUUGCGUAAAAAAUAUCCUGCUGCAUCACAAUCGAAUACGGGUAUUCAUCGAAAAACUGGAUUACCCGAUAUUAGUCUAAUAAAUGGCAAAAGUACACAUGGUAUAAGAGGUUGUAGAUCGAAUCGCAUUAAUCUCGAUAAAUGUGCAAUAAUCAAGGAUACUAGCAGUGAAAAUAGUAAAAAUACGUUGCUAUAUGUUUUAAAGAAGGAUCUAACUGAUAUUUCCAAAAAAUCGUAUCGUCGAUCCAGAGAUCCGCAUAUAAAGGCGGACAGUAGCAGUGUGAUUGUGGAAGGACAACGAUAUUCACCUUAUGGUCACGUAGCAAAACCAGAAACAGCCAAUGUUAAUGCCACCUAUAAUGAAGACUAUACAUUAAACAAACAUAAUUCUUUCACGGAUUCAACGUAUAAACCUGCAAGUCAUACAGAUCAGCCAUUAACAGUAAUGAUACCACGUGCUAAAUAUCAUUCUUCCGCGUUGGCACAAACUGGAUUAUUUCACCAACAUUUAAUAAUGGAGCAUACAAAAAACCAACAUGAACAACGACGAAUACAACAAAAGCGGUAUAAUAAAUCAAAUCUUACCACUUUAAUGACACUGAGGCGGGACAACAAUGGCAAUAAUAUGCAAAAACAUGAAAAAGAAUCAUCGAAACUGAACAUCAGAGGAUCUAAACAUGCAGAGGUGAUGCCUGGUCGAAAUAGUGUGAACGACGACUGUGACUUAAAAAACAUGCAUCUGCAUCAGUUGGGCGCUCUUGUUUCAGCUGGAUUUGAGGUUUCAGCCUUAGUAGGUGAAAACAUAUUAAUCACCAGCAGCACUGCAAAAAACGAGCAUAUAACAUUGGCCUUAAACAACAGUGGCAUUAUUGAUGAGUUCGAUUCAAAUAACCUCCGAUCUAAUAUCAAUAGGGGCUGCGAUAUUGCUAAAAAAAAUGAUCCCAAAGAUUCAAACAUUGAUAAUAGUAAAAUAACAAUACGAUUGAAUCAAGCCACGCUUGCUCCAAGUGAACAACAGAAACAAUACCAUCAACAAAUGGCCAAACUAUGUUCACAUAGAUCGUCAAGUGAAAACCGUAGUUCUGGGAAGGAUGAAAAUAACUUUCUCGAUUCUAUGGAUGUAUGGUUUGGGCAUUAUCAACUAAAUAAGCUAUCAACUAAGGCGCAAUCUCCAGAAGAAUCAACGGCCCAAACCACUAUGAAACCUCUACACAUAUGCUUCGAUGUAUUGACGUCCAACACAAAUGAUGAUACAAAUUCAAUGGCAGAACGGGAUGUCGGCUCCACAUUUCUAUUGCCGCAUACUCAUCUUUAUGAACCAGACAAGCAAGAAAGUGAUAUAUCUGGUUUCGAUUCAUUCUAACAUAUAGUCGAACGUUGUGAAAAUUAGCAGUUGGUCUAAAACUUAUUUACGGAUUUUGAUUUUUAACAGUUCGGCAUUGGAAUAACAACUGAUAUGAAUUUUAUAAAUUUCUUGUCUGAAAUAUGAUAUAAUUACGCAUUUACGUAUUUAUUGUAGUUGUUAUUAAAAAGUGUAAUGAGCCCACGUAUGUUGCGUCCCUAUGCGCUUUGGCACGUGUUCCUAUAAUAUAUCUGCUCAGUUCAACUGUAUGCCGUGGUAAUCAAACACUAUUAUCCAUCAAAUAUUAAUAGUAUAUUUUUCUAGAAUCAACAACAAUAUUCAAAUAUUUUAAACUUCAAGAAUAUUACAAUUAUUUAAUAUUUAAUUAUACCAUAAACAGGAUACAUUAAGUUUGUCAUGAAGUUUGUAACACAGAAAAUGUACAUAUACAUAAAUGAUCAAAUAUAUACAUAUAUAAAUAUUA